UAAAGCCAGAGAAUUGUUCUUUCGGGGCCUGAUCCUGCAAGACCUCACAUGGGCGACUCCACUGAAUACAAGAGAGAUUACUCAGGUCCAGUGUCAAUACAUUAUGAAGAUGUGGCAUUUGAGAGGGUUUUCUUUUAAAUGGAGGAACACCAUGGAGAAUGGAACAGAAGAACAGAUUUUUAAGGAUGCUGUCAAGUCAGUGGAGUUCUCUUUUUAGUGGUUGCUUCAGUGAACAUUCAACGCUGUCGGCCUUUCACUGAAGACAGCUGCCAAACCAGCACACAAGGUAUCUCUUCCCCCCACCCCAUCCUCUUUGCAGAGCUUUACUAAAAAGGUCACAAUCAACAUUCAUUGCUGUCGGUGGGUUUAACUAUGUGGACAAGCUCACUGAACAAUGAAUGCAACUGUGGCCCCACUUUUUGUGAUCACAGUCAAGAGGAAUAUCAGCUCUGAAAGCAGCAUUGAAAGUCUUUCAUAUAUGAAACUUUUCUGAUCAAAAGACGAAUAUCUUCAGGAUUUUUUUUUAAGCUGGUUUGACUCAGAUGGUUGAGACAACACUCACUCCUCCCUGGAGUUGAUUACAACAUAAAGGGAGUUCAUUCUGCCAUUAAUCUCUCUUACUUACUAUAGAUAUUAACAAAAACUCUGGUAUAGAAAAAGCCUCCCUGUAUGCACCCCCGAGGACUCUGAACACAGGAGGAGAGAUGGUUGAAAACGUCUCUAAAAAAAAAAUCAAAUAUAAUAAUAAUAAUAAUAAAAAAAAAAAUCUAUGUACUGCAACAUUGCACAUGCAGAGAGAUGAUGGCUAUGUGUGUCCUUGGCAAAACAAGACAAACUCACCCCAAAAUUUCUUACAAAUGGGAGCCUUAGUUAAAGAAUGGCGAUAAUAUUCCUGAUCUUGGUGGAAUACAAUUCAUUGCUUUGUGAAGUUUAUUUAAACACCUAAUAAACAUUA